AACCGGUUCUAAGAAAUUCGACCCGACUCUUCCGUUUUCGGGCCGGGCCGCGGGCCGCUAGCCAUGGCUGAUCCUCUAUAUUUAUAAACUACAGCGAAUGAACAGUAUUGCAUUAGUGUUGCUUGAGGAGGAUUUUCUACGUCUCUCUGAGUAUAUGCCAUGAAUAGAAAUGUGUCGCUAUCAGCCUUGGGAAGAUGAUUCUUCGGAAGUUGAUGAUUACGCACGUGUAGGAAAUGGCAGGGAACACAUUGAUGUAAGGUUGGAGACACAACUGGCGAUGUUGCAAGCGCGGAUUGCAAAUGUUGAAGCUAGGGUGGAAAGGCUUGAGGCAAAGAUGUUAUAUUUGCAGAAGGGAAUGCACAUAGUUUGUGGAUUGUUUUUUGUCACUCUUGUGUAUGCUAUAUGCAAAUAAACUAGAUUUCGAUUUGUGUUGAUUAGUUGUAGGCUAGUAGUUGCUCUGCUCACAAUGAGAUGUGUAUAAAAGUUUCAUUGUAUAAAAGUCAGAUUUUAAUGAUAACAUGAAAGUGAUGUCUUGUUAUUGCUCUUUGCCA